CAGUCACUGCACAGCUGGAUCUCAGUCAGAGUGUCAGGUUCAGGUCAGAUUUCUGUCUUCAACAUCCUCAGUUCUCUUCUGGCAGCUUGUCCGUAUCUGCUGGCGACAGUCGUGCUGCUUUUCAAAUGCUACAGAGCGAGAGUUCCAUCUGCUGAAGACCAAAGCCAGUAUGCAGUGAGAGAAGAAACUUCAACCUGAUGU